rnacentral:rRNA from 1 species
CCUUCGGGGGAACUGUGGUUAGGUGCUGCAUGGGCUGUCGGUCAGCUCGUGUCGUUGAGAUGUUGGGUUAAGUCCGCAACGAGCGCAACCCCUGUUGUUAGUUGCCAGCAUUAAGUUGGGCACUCUAACAAGACUGCCGACCUUUAAGUCGGAGGAAGGUGGGGAUACGUCAAGUCAUCAUGGCCCUUAUGUCCAGGGCUACAAACGUGCUACAAUGGUCGGUACAAAGGGUAGCGAACUCGCGAGAGGGAGCCAAUCUCAAAAAGCCGACCUCAGUACAGAUAGGAGUCUGCAACUCGACUCCUUGAAGUCGGAAUCGCUAGUAAUCGCUGAUCAGCAUGGCAGCGGUGAAUACGUUCCCGGGUCUUGUACACACC